CCCUACGGGGGGCAGCAGUAGGGAAUCUUCCACAAUGGGCGAAAGCCUGAUGGAGCCACGCCGCGUGGGUGAAGAAGGUCUUCGGAUCGUAAAACCCUGUUGUUAGAGAAGAAAGCGCGUGAGAGUAACUGUUCACGUUUCGACGGUAUCUAACCAGAAAGCCACGGCUAACUACGUGCCAGCAGCCGCGGUAAUACGUAGGUGGCAAGCGUUAUCCGGAUUUAUUGGGCGUAAAGGGAACGCAGUCGGUCUUUUAAGUCUGAUGUGAAAGCCUUCGGCUUCACCGCGGUAGUGCAU
rnacentral:rRNA from 1 species